UACGUAGGGUGCAAGCGUUAAUCGGAAUUACUGGGCGUAAAGCGCACGUAGGCGGCUUUGUAAGUUAGAGGUGAAAGCCCGGAGCUUAACUCCGGAACUGCCUUUAAGACUGCAUCGCUUGAAUCAUGGAGAGGUUAGUGGAAUUCCGAGUGUAGAGGUGAAAUUCGUAGAUAUUCGGGAGGAACACCAGUGGCGAAGGCGGCGACCUGGACGGACAUUGACGCUGAGACGCGAAAGCGUGGGGAGCAAACAGG
rnacentral:rRNA from 1 species